rnacentral:tRNA from 1 species
CGGGGUGUGGUGUAGCGGGAGCAUACUGCGUUUGGGACGCAGUGGUCGGAGGUUCGAAUCCUCCCGCCCCGA